rnacentral:rRNA from 1 species
UACGGAGGGGGCUAGCGUUGUUCGGAAUUACUGGGCGUAAAGCGCACGUAGGCGGUUUCUCAAGUCAGAGGUGAAAGCCCGGAGCUCAACUCCGGAAUAGCCUUUGAAACUAGGGAACUUGAACGUCGGAGAGGUGAGUGGAAUUCCGAGUGUAGAGGUGAAAUUCGUAGAUAUUCGGAAGAACACCAGUGGCGAAGGCGGCUCACUGGACGACUGUUGACGCUGAGGUGCGAAAGCGUGGGGAGCAAACAGG